UGAGUACGAGAUGCUACGGCAUCGAAGCAGUCUAUGUCAUACUUCCAAGAAAAGCUUGCAAUGUCAUAAACAAAUAAUGCCUGUACCAUAACCGACACAGGUGGGUAGGUAGAGUAUACUAAGGGGCGCGAGAUAACUCUCUCUAAGGAACUCGGCAAAAUGACUCCGUAACUUCGGGAGAAGGAGUGCCUUAUUUUUAUAAGGUUGCAAUAACAAGAUCCAAGCAACUGUUUACCAAAAACACAGGUCUCCGCUAAGUCGUAAGACGAUGUAUGGGGGCUGACGCCUGCCCAGUGCCAGAAGGUUAAAGAAGUUGGUUAGCAUUAGCGAAGCUGAUAACUGAAGCCCUGGUGAACGGCGGCCGUAACAAUAACGGUCCUAAGGUAGCGAAAUUCCUUGUCGGGUAAGUUCCGACCCGCACGAAAGGCGUAAUGAUUUGGAUACUGUCUCGGAGAGGGGCUCGGUGAAAUAGACUUGUCUGUGAAGAUGCGGACUACCUGCACCUGGACAGAAAGACCCUAUGAAGCUUUACUGUAACUUGAGAUUGAAAUUGGACUUUAUCUGCGCAGUAUAGGUGGGAGACGUUGAAAAUAUUCUUGCGGGAAUAUUGGAGUCAUCAGUGAGAUACCACUCUUAUAAUGUUAGAUUUCUAACUUUGUAUCAUUAUCUGGUCAAAGAACAGCUUCAGGCGGGCAGUUUGACUGGGGCGGUCGCCUCCCAAACGGUAACGGAGGCGCACAAAGGUUUCCUCUGAACGUGUAGAAAUCGUAUCUAGAGUGUAAAGGCAUAAGGAAGCUUGACUGUGAGACCUACAAGUCGAGCAGGGACGAAAGUCGGUCUUAGUGAUCUGACGGUGCUGAGUGGAAAGGCCGUCACUCAACGGAUAAAAGUUACUCUAGGAUAACAGGCUGAUCUCCCCCAAGAGUUCACAUCGACGGGGAGGUUUGGCACCUCGAUGUCGGCUCAUCGCAUCCUGGGGCGGUAGUACGUCCCAAGGGUUGGGCUGUUCGCCCAUGAAAGCGGUACGCGAGCUGGGUUCAGAACGUCGUGAGACAGUUCGGUCCAUAUCCGGUGUAGGCGUUAGAAUAUUGAGAGGAGCCUUCUUUAGUACGAGAGGACCGAGAAGGACAUACCUCUGGUGUACCAGUUAUCGUGCCAACGGUAAACGCUGGGUAGCCAUGUAUGGAGAGGAUAACCGCUGAAAGCAUCUAAGUGGGAAGCCCACCUCAAGAUAAG
rnacentral:rRNA from 1 species